UCAGACGAUGCGUCAUGCAUAUCAAUAAGCGGAGGAAAAGAAACUAACAAGGAUUCCCUUAGUAACGGCGAGUGAAGCGGGAAGAGCUCAAAUUUGAAAUCUUCAAGGUUUUACCUUGACGAAUUGUAGUUUAAAGAAGUGUUUUCUGCUGAAGUUUUGGUAAAAGUUCUUUGGAAUAGGACAUCAUAGAGGGUGAGAAUCCCGUAUUUGACCAUUAUUUUCAGCUUUGUGAUACACUUCCAAAGAGUCGGAUUGUUUGGGAAUGCAGUCCAAAAUGGGUGGUAAAUUUCAUCUAAAGCUAAAUAUUGGCGAGAGACCGAUAGCGAACAAAUACCGUGAGGGAAAGAUGAAAAGAACUUUGAAAAGAGAGUUAAACAGUACGUGAAAUUGUCAAAAGGGAAGCGUUUGACACCAGUGUUGUUUUCUCGAAAAUCAAUUAAAAAUGGCUCGAUUUUGUAUUGCUUGAGACCUUAAAAGCUCACUGUACAUUUUUCGUGUCUUUUUUAAUGCACUUUUCGUUUAACAAGUCAACAGUCAGUUUCUUUUGUUGUAAAAGGGUCAUUGGAAGGUGGCUUUCUUUUCGGAGAAAGUGUUUAUAGCCUUUGGCCUCUGCAAUCGGAGAGACUGAGGUCUGCAGCGUAGACUCUUCGGGGUUAGAUACAUUUGUGCUAAGUUAUAGCUUUUUAUAGACAACUUGUUGACUAUAAUUAGUCUUGUAGCUUACUCGCUUAUGCUAUUUUACCUACGCUUAGGAUGUUGACGAUCAGCUGAGCGCG
rnacentral:rRNA from 1 species